rnacentral:rRNA from 1 species
UGGGGAAUAUUGGGCAAUGGGCGAAAGCCUGACCCAGCAACGCCGCGUGAAGGAAGAAGGUCUUCGGAUUGUAAACUUCUUUUAUGAGGGACGAAGGACGUGACGGUACCUCAUGAAUAAGCCACGGCUAACUACGUGCCAGCAGCCGCGGUAAUACGUAGGUGGCAAGCGUUAUCCGGAUUUACUGGGUGUAAAUGGCGUGUAGGCGGGACUGCAAGUCAGAUGUGAAAACUCAGGGCUCAACCCUGAGCCUGCAUUUGAAACUGUAGUUCUUGAGUACUGGAGAGGCAGACGGAAUUCCUAGUGUAGCGGUGAAAUGCGUAGAUAUUAGGAGGAACACCAGUGGCGAAGGCGGCUUGCUGGACGACAACUGACGCUGAGGCGCGAAAGCGUGGGGAGCAAACAGGAUUAGAUACCCUGGUAGU